GUUUGCAGCACAGCCACCCCACCUUCAGCUGAUCAUCCCAGAUCCAGCAGCAGGUUCUGUAGUUCUCUGAGGUGGAGUUCCCAGAGUCAACUGAUAGCUCCUCCGCCAUGACACCUUGCCCUUGCUGCCCUUGGGCUAGGGACAUAACGAAGAGUCUGAUUGUUUUGCUUGCACCGUCAGUACACGGCUCUAAGGAGAGGAGAAACUACUAGAACAUACUUUCUGCAUGAAGAUGGGGAAAAUAGGUGGAAGGAUGUACUUCGCAUCCUCAACACUUGUUUUCUGGGAAGAAACAAGAAUGUAAAGGUCAUGUACUGACAUUGUGGAGAUCUCCUAAAAUUCAGUGAAAUAAAAGACGAAACUACCAUUAAUUUUACCAUCCAGACUGCACCAAAAUGUUAACAAUACUGUUUUCUCUCCUAUUAAUAAACCUGUGCUUAUAUUUUAUAAAAUUGGGAGCAUAUUUCAUACUUUUAUAACUUGUGUUUUUCAUGUAUAUCAUGAACAUUUUCCAAGGUUAAAUACUCUGAAAACAUGAUUUUUAAUGGUAAUAUUAAAUAUUUGUAAUAUUCCUUUUGAUAGUCCACUAUUUAUCCUACAUGAUCUAUAACAUAAGAAUAAAUAAAAACAUUUUACCUUCAUAAAUGGAUUUAUUGUCUAAACCAUUUUUUAAAAGAAGAUUUAAUGACAUGGAGAGCUGCACAUGAGAUGAGUACAAUGUUUGAAAAAGCACAAUAUUGAAACAAUAUUGUGGUCUUAAUUUUGUAGAGAGAGAAAGAAGGGAUUUUUUGUGUAUAUAUUUGCUGUUUUUCUGAUUGUAAAAGUGCUGCAUGCUUAUAUCGAAAACCUGCAAGAAAAGAAAGUGUCCAUUAUUUCACUUACCUUAAGUCACAGGGCUGCUAUGAGGAUUAAAUGAGAAUGUCUGUAAAGCUUUUAACACUAUAUCCCACUUACAAGAUGACAUUAAAAUCCAGAAGAGUCUAGGGUUCUCAUUUUCAUUCCUCUACUCUUCGCUGGUGAAAAGAGAAAGCGUCAUAUAAUCAUGAGUAAAAAAGGCAAUUAAUUCACCUGGAAACAAAACCGGGGCAAAAGCUGCAAGGUGUCAAUACUGGUUGCCUGAACAUUUCAUUACCUUCCAAGUCAGUGACAGAGAAACCUAGUCCUCAUUCUGUUUAAUAGCUGGUCACACAGAAUGUGUAAGGAUCCUCCAGUUCACCAUGUUUCCCAGGCAAAGGACUUCAGAGGUGGGAUAAUUCUUUAAUGCCAUAUUACAAGAUAGUAAUUCCAAGGAAGAAGGUAAACUACAUGUAUGAACAGUUAUUUCCAAACACUUAGAAUGACAUCGUGAUGUAUAUAUAUUCACACAUAUACACAACCUACAUAUUCAUACUCAAAGUCAGAAGGUGAGUGUAUGUAAAUGUUAUGCCAUUAUGUUCCACAAAUAAUGUCUUCCAAAUAAUUCCCCAGACCAAGAUACACCAAGCACUUUUUGCUCAGAAGAGCAGUUGACACAUGAAAGAAGAAGAUGACCCACAGGGCACACAAAUGCAGGGAAAACAGUUUCCUCAGGCCCUUGGUUACAUCCUUCAAGGGAAUUCUUGCUUACAACCCCACAAAGUGGCCUGAAGAGACAAAAAAAAAUUCUAAUACCCUUUCUUCUCCAAAAUUAUGAUUCUAAUAUUCAGACCAUUCACUAACAUAUAGAUUUAAAAGGCCUUACCAUGCUGAUAUAAUGUUCACUUUGUAUGACUCCCACUGGACAAUAAACUUAUUCAAGAAGGGAUUUUUAUCUUGCAUCCCAAAUACCCUACACAGACUAGGGACUCAAUAAACAUUUGUUAAAUGAAUAAAUAAUUGCUUUCAGCUGCCCCGCCCCAAUGCAAAGACAUCUUCCACAGUGAAACAAGUAGUCUUACACAAGCUUUUGAAGACCACAGUUCUGGCAACUCAGGCUCUCCCUCAGCAAUUUUAUCCAUUUAAAACACCUAAAUCACUGAUCCUGUGAAUACAUGUGCCCAUAAGUCUGAAAAUGCUUAGGAGAAAACAUUAAAGCAAGGGGGGAGGGCAAGCUUUCAUCAACCUACAUGUGUGGAUAACAAUAAAACUUACCUCAAAGUGUAAGUGUGAGGAUUAAAUUAGAUAAAUACACACAAAUCUCUCAGCACAUGAACUGGUACAUAGUAAGUACUCAGUUGUCUCCUAACUAGUCAUUUCCUGAAAGAAGUUAUUUUGUCUUAUUACAUCUUUUUACAAACCACCCAGCUCAUACCCCACCUCUAAACCUUUCCUCUAUUUUACACUCAAGGCCUCUUGGCCAGGGCUUGUGAAUCAAGGAGGGCUAUGGCAUGAUUUGUUCCUUAUAUCCAAUUUCAGAGCAAUAUUUCAAAUACUGGAAGCUUCUGGAAGAUUGACUUCUUAAUAAAUAAACAUUAGUGAAAAUUAAUUUGGGAUACUCAGUGUUAAUUUAUAAUUGGAGGGGUGGUGGAGGGAGGUAUAACUAUUGUUAAUUCCAGUGUGCACAAAAGAUUAUAAUGCAUGCUAUAAAAGAGGUACAACUGAAGCACUAGGGGACCCAAAGGAGGUAGUGAUUUUUUAUGGCUGGGGAGAUCAGCAAAGACUACUUGAAUGUUUAAAAUAACAAAAAAAGAAGAUAUUCAGAGGGUGGCAGUGUAGUGAGGUAUUUUCAAAGAGCUCAAGGAACGACAUGGAGGGUGAAUGGUUACAGGAUAUGUGACAAACUAGUCAGGAGAUUGUGACAAGAGCACAGAGUUCGUUGUGAUAAGGAAAAGGGGGUAUAGUUUGUGGUGUGGAACAAAGUUAGUCAAAAACCUCAAAGUUGAGAACUGAUAUUUCAUCCACUGUUGGUGGAAGUAGCUGACAUUCCAGUUCCCCUAACAGUGUAGUGUUAGCGUUACCAAGCAGAGAGCUGAUCUUCCGUGCUUCAUCUGACAGAAAACAGGCAGUGUUUUUAUUCCCCUGGAAGACAAAUACUGGUGAUGCCGAACACAGAGCUGAUCUACUACCUCUCUGGCAGAAGCAAAUGGUACUCUGAUUCCCCUGCCAGGAUAGUGUCAGCAAGGUCAAAUGGUAAGUUGCUCCACCACAUUCAUCUGGUAGUGUGAGGUAGUGCUAGUAAUUGUUAUGAUACACUCACACCCCAUAUAAACCUGACAGCAAUGAGAUUGAAUACAGUAGAGCAAGUCAGGGCUAGUCAGCACUCUGGUUCCCUAUACCCCUAAUGUCAGUGAAAACCAGUGAGUAGCUGACCUUCCAUCCUCAUCCACAGUCAGUGAGACAGAACAAAGGGAAACAUGAUGGGACUAGAUGGUACUCAACUUUCCCUAAACCUUUUGUGUCAAUGGGUCCCAGAGUUCAGAUAAGCCCCCACUGCCACUUUGAGGGCGUAAGAUGGUAUGAGCCUGUAACCCAUUAUCACCACGAAGGUGUCAGCAAAUUUGGGAUGGGAGCUGAACUUCUGUACUGCCCAUGUGCAAUGAGGCAGUGUGAGUUAGUGCUGCAUUUUUUCAAAAAGGUUGUGUCAGGGGAACCUAACAGAAGAAGCUGAAAAUAUAUACAAAAGCAGCCCUUCAGCCACAAAAAAAUAGGGGGGCUCUCUAACAAAUAAAAAAGGUUACAGAGAACACAGAGUCUCAUGAUAUAAAAUUAAAAAAUGACUAAGAUGCAAUGAAAAAAAUCAUACAAGGAACAAGGGAAAUCACAACUUAAAAGAGACAAGACAAUUAACAGGUGCCCAAAACAGAUAAAAAAUCGAUGUUGGAAAUAUUUGAAAUAGAUUUGAAAGCAGCCAUCAUUUAAAAAAGUGAUUCAAUAAGCCCAGGCAUUGAUGAAUGUCUUUAAGUAUCAAGAGCAUUCAGGGAAAUAUGACCUCACUGAACUAACUAAAGAAGAUGCCAGUAAC